AGCCAUUGCUUCAUUCCACACCACACCUGGCAUGCCAGCAACAGUGACUGUCAGCUCCUCUACCCAUAAUCCCAACACAAAAGAGCCCCGCUGACCUCCACACAAGCCCAGUCUUGCCCCACCCCACCCCAAUUACUGUGCUUUCUCACUAGAGGUUAUGAGCAACAGCCAGUGACUAUGAGAAGUCUCGCUCCUUGGGCCUCAGAGCCUCCUGCCUCCAUUCCCCUGAACAGAACCAUCUGCUACCCACAGGCUCGCCACACAACAUCUUUGAUGAGUCACAGUUAAUGACAAGUUCAAUGGUUCCUGUGUAAGUGUCCUCUUCCUGGCGCUGGAGAGAUGGCUCUGCUGAUGAGGGCAUUGCUGCCAAGCCUGAGGAACUGAACCUGACCCUGGGACCCAUAUUGUGGAAGGAAAGAACUAACUCCUGAAGUCAUCGUCUCAUCUCUGCAUGUGCACCAUGGCACUUGUCAAGUACACACACACACACACACACACACACACACUCAUUCAUACACACAUCCUCUAACACACACAUACAUAAACACAUACACGCACACACAUAUACACACACACACUCACAUACACACCCGUCAUUAAUACAGAAUCUUAUUCCAUCAGCCUGAAAUUAUUGCCAUUUUUUUCCUGCCCACUCUCUAGAGAGGGGUCCUCUUUUAGUGGACCCCUGGGAGAAUUUGUGGCAAAAUUUUGUCCUGGCAGUGUCUUAGCAACUGCAACAUAAGGUAUCUGUGGCAGGUUGCCACAAGAGAGUCACAAAAAAGAGCUGGCUGAGCCACAAAGUGUACCCGACAAAUCAGAAACCACAAAAGGAGGGUAAAGAAA
rnacentral:lncRNA from 1 species